UACGGAGGGAGCUAGCGUUGUUCGGAAAUACUGGGCGUAAAGCGCGUGUAGGCAGCUGAGCAAGUCGGAUGUGAAAGCCCUGGGCUCAACCUAGGAAGUGCAUUCGAAACUGCUGAGCUAGAGUUCUGGAGAGGGAUGCGGAAUUCCAGGUGUAGCGGUGAAAUGCGUAGAUAUCUGGAGGAACACCGGUGGCGAAGGCGGCAUCCUGGACCAACACUGACGCUGAGUGAGCGAAAGCCAGGGGAGCAAACGGG
rnacentral:rRNA from 1 species